rnacentral:misc_RNA from 1 species
UAAAAAAUAAUAAUAAAAAAAAUCUGGUCUUCAUUGACCAUUCUUUCAUAAAUCCAUGAACAAUGAGCACCUGCCCUGUUGUAUCCCAAUGACAAACCCCAUCAUGAUCAUAGAAUCAGCUAACCAAAUUUUCCACUACAAUCUAGUAAAUCUGUUACAAGACUUCUUCAACUGCAAUCAAAUUAUUCCAAGGGAUACCCAUCGGAUUACAAUUCAUUAUUAUCAUAGAUGAUUAAAACCCAAUUUUCAAAAAUAAAAUAUCGCGGACUACAAUCAAGAUUGACACGAAAGAGCUUGUUCUAAAAUUAAACACAGAUCAUGAUAUUAGUCAAUCAUUAAAUAAUAAAUUAAACAAUAGAAUCAA